AUUGAACGCUGGCGGCAGGCCUAACACAUGCAAGUCGAGCGGAUGAAGGGAGCUUGCUCCUGGAUUCAGCGGCGGACGGGUGAGUAAUGCCUAGGAAUCUGCCUGGUAGUGGGGGAUAACGUCCGGAAACGGGCGCUAAUACCGCAUACGUCCUGAGGGAGAAAGUGGGGGAUCUUCGGACCUCACGCUAUCAGAUGAGCCUAGGUCGGAUUAGCUAGUUGGUGGGGUAAAGGCCUACCAAGGCGACGAUCCGUAACUGGUCUGAGAGGAUGAUCAGUCACACUGGAACUGAGACACGGUCCAGACUCCUACGGGAGGCAGCAGUGGGGAAUAUUGGACAAUGGGCGAAAGCCUGACCCAGCCAUGCCGCGUGUGUGAAGAAGGUCUUCGGAUUGUAAAGCACUUUAAGUUGGGAGGAAGGGAAGUAAGUUAAUACCUUGCUGUCUUGACGUUACCAAAAGAAUAAGCACCGGCUAACUUCGUG
rnacentral:rRNA from 1 species